rnacentral:rRNA from 1 species
GACAGAGGUGGCAAGCGUUGUUCGGAUUUACUGGGCGUAAAGAGUGCGUAGGUGGUGAGGUAAGACCUGUGGGAAAGACCUGGGCUUAACCCAGGAAGGUCGCAGGUGACUGCCUCGCUUGAGGACGGGAGAGGAGAGCGGAAUUCCCGGUGUAGCGGUGAAAUGCGUAGAGAUCGGGAAGAAGGCCGGUGGCGAAGGCGGCUCCCUGGAACGUUCCUGACACUGAGGCACGAAAGCGUGGGGAGCAAACAGG